GGCUUUUUAAAUAUCUUAAGAAAUUUAUUCUUUAAAGGAGUCAACCCCAAAAUCUUACUUUUUUUUGUAUAAUUUAAUACAUUACAUUUCAUAUACCUCUAUCUUUUGAUUACUAGUUUAAUUAUAAAUUUAGCUUUUUUUAGAUAAAUUUUAGGGAAAGGUGUGGAUAAUAAAAAAGGAUGAAAUAAGUUUCAUUAAUUAGUAUUUAAUGAUUUAUUUUUGUAAUAAAGUUUAAAAAUAGAAUUUAAAAGUAAUAUUAGUAUAUUUUGCUAAUUUGAAUUAGUUUUUAGAAGUGUACAUAUUGCCCGUCACUCUCUUAUUAGAGAUAAGUC
rnacentral:rRNA from 1 species